UCCCACUCCAAAGGCACAGGGCAAAGAGCUCUACAGAGCUUGAGCAGAACACAAUUCAAAGGCCAGAGUUCUGCAGAGACAGGAGGAUCAGUGCUCUCAAACUUCCUGGAAUACGGAGUUACUUAUCCCUUUCUACUUCAGUACAAGAAAUAA